GUAUGAGCGGGAAAGAAGCAACAAUUGAUAUUUGAUACUGAAACAUUCAACUGAAACAGAUGGACCACCAAGCUCUUCUACGUGCAGUAGAAACGUCAGAUUGUAAAGUUUUUAUCGAGUGGUACAAGAGAGUGGAAACUGAGAAUAUCUCGGCUGUUAGAGAAUCAGUUGAUCGCCUGUCCAACAAAGAUCUAUGUGGAAUAUGGACAGUGUUCACCAAAUGGGUUGCACACGCAACCAAUUCAUUGAAAGAAAAUCCAAAUUUGCCCGAAAAUGAUUCAAUCAUGACUACUUUACUGUUCAUGUCAACCAUGGCUACCUACACCAUCCACAACAUGUCUAACAAUGAACCUCAAGGAUUACAGCCAUCUGUAAAAGCCAUGAAUGGAUCUUUGAAGUUUGUAAACUGCAAGAAAGCAGCAACAAGCAUUUGCAAAAUGAGCGAACACUACUGGAAAGUUCAUCCUGAACUUGAAACUUUUCUAUCCAUCAACACCAUUCAAUGGUUCCUUACUCAAGCUAUUCAUCCAAAAGCAACACUAGUUUCUGUGAAACAGUUAUGGGACAUGAAACAAUCAAUUGAGAAGUUAAAUGCUUUGAUCCUUGAAAGUUCUGGAUUAUUGACAUUGUUUCUUUCUGCUAUUUCCAAUUCCAAAUUUAUUGGCUCCAAUGAAGGACAAAAAUGUAUUGCUUGCCUGUUUAACUUUAAUACAGUUAUUGUACAGGUGUUGCAAAAAACAGUGAAAAAGUUUAUCCCACUUGCAACAGUGAACGAUUGUGAAUCAUUGGGGGAGAUUUAUUUUAAGGCGUGGAGAAUGGCUACUGAACAACGCCGUGCAGACAUCGAAUUUGCCAUUCAAGAUCUCAUGUACCAUGCAGUUGUAGCUUGUCGCAAACCAUUAGGAGUCAUUGAAGGUGGAGUUAAUAAGGUGCCUAUGAACAAACUGCUUUUCCAUCUUCUACAUUCCAUCCAUCGUCAGCGAAAACAGCGCACUGUUGCAGUCCUUAUCCACAUUCUUUAUAAACCUAUUCUGUGGCGUUAUCUGGAGGCGUCCAACGGCUUGGUACGUGGGAAUGCAUUGUGUUUAUUUUUUGACGCCUUCCCAUUUGAAAGUGGAGAAGGGUUUGAGGAGGAUGAGGCUGUGCGUACGAAGCAGUGGGCGAUAAUGCUUGGUGCCCUGAUGGAUCCCGUACCCCUUGUACGAACAAUCGCAAUACAGGGCACAUGCCGGAUUCUAUCUCAAUACUGGGAAAUAGUGCCAGUUAAUAUCAUUCAAGACUUCAUUACAUGUUUGAUGAGAAAGUUGCUGUAUGACUCAUCCUCCGCUGACGUCCGUGCUCAUGUAGUAAAGGGUUUGGUAAUGAUGCUAGAGAGCAGACAAACCCACAGCCUUCUUGAGAAAAUGAUUCCCCUUACCAACAAAGUACUUCAUGAUCCCAAUGAAAAAGUACGGUCUGAAUAUGUUUUUUUGCUAACACACGUCCAAAAAUUAAGAGUUAGCAAACUAUGGGAGGUGAUUGAUGUAAAUCAGUUAGUUGGCCGGCUUGCAAUGGAAACCUCAAAAAACGUAUGCAUUCGCCUCGCAACUCUUUUGGCCCCAUUCUAUUGUCCCAAAAGUACGCCAGAAAUAGUUUUCCAGCGCUGUUUACGUCUUAUCAUCGAUAACCGGUUAGCUUCUAGGAAAUUUUACCAAUACAUAGAUACAUGUGUGGGGAUUGAACAAAUUGCGCAAUUGAUCCUAAUCAUAUGGAAGUUUUUACGCAACCAUAUCCACAAACAGUUGCAGCGCAAUAAAAGUAGCCAGCAAAGAGAGGAAACAGCUAAUCAACGACGCCCUUGUGGGGCUAAGAGGUCUCGACAAGGCGAAGGUGCGGAAAGCAUUCCAAAUACGACUGAAAACGAGGACAAAGAAAAUCAAGAUGGAUCCACCGACAGUGAGGAAACUGGCAAUGAAGAAUUUAGUGAAUGCAGCAUCAUAGGAUUGAUCGAUGUAGUGUGUAUCCUUCUUAGCGUAAACAAGACGAAAUUCAAGGCACCGCCAAACGUUGUAUAUUGGGAGAAUAUCAAGUCACGUUUUUCGAAAACGUGUUCACUUUUCUUCCGCUAUUUCAAGAACUCGGAAGGUCUUCGACCGCUUAUCUGCCUCUAUGGUUUGAUGUCUUCCACAUCGUCCACGUUGCUGUUGAGCUUUGUCAAAUCUCAGUUGAAAUCGCUAACGGAUGAAGCGACAUGUAAGGAGUUUAGUUAUUUGGUAGACGUCAUGUGCACUUGGGGUCGCGGAGAAGAUUUAUUAGAUCUAAUAACCGAUCACCUCCAAGGAAAUCUAAUGAAUUUCAUAGCCGAAAAGUCUCCCCUCUCCGAUACUCGUAAAGGCAAAGCUACUAGGAAAAAGCGAGUCUCGUUCGAAACGCCCAAGGACAGUAAGCCUUUGUUGGGAUUACGUUGCAUGGCCUACAUUCUGCAGCACCCCUACAAUAAGAAGAUCAUUUUGCGCAAAAAUUUGGAACAGAUAGAAAAACUAUGCGAGACGCUAAAGGCUGUCUUAUUAAUUGCGGAAAACAAUCCCAACAGGCUAACCAACCGGGAAAGUUUCUUAUUUGUUGCAGCUUCUUUAUACGUGAAAAUGGUCCUGGUGUUAGCUUGUUCAUAUAAAAGAGAAAAGUCUGAUUUGAAGUAUAUGGAGUCACAAAAAAAUAUUGUCGGAAUACUCAGCUGGACGAAGAGGUUAAUGGAAAAUGAAGAUCUAAACCCGAUUCUAGGGGAUCUGAUUUCAUCUGCAGUUUCUUCCAUCAGUAACUUGGUCAUGAUUCACUCCAUGACUUGGGAAGUCUUUCGUCAGUUUUUGGAUGUUGUUCUUCAAGUAGUUACGAAGUAUCCGUCAUCGAAGAACUUGACUCUCGCUAUGAACUGUGCAUACCAUUCCUUGGUUUUCGUUUGGAGCGAGCGUUCAAUAGGAAACGAAUGUGAUGUUGAAUGCGAAAGCCGGAUCAAUCUGAUCAUCAACUGCGUUUUGGAGUGCGCUAGCCUGGUGACAGCGUCUGGUAGUAGUACGAGAUUCUGCUUAGAUGAGGACGAUUGGUCUCUGGUAAGAGAUAUUGUAAAGAAAAUCUUGGAAGAAUGUCAUCGUCAUCGCCCGGAAAAGCACGAAAGUAUACGUGAAAUCGUUCGCAAGAUGGUAGAUACCAUUAGAUCGGAUAUGAUGCAGGUUCAGUCGCCUGGACAAGGAGAUGGCAAAAAGAAGGCGGAUGAUGCAAGUUGUCAGCAUCAAUUGUCAAAAGCUAUAAUUGCAGCAUUCCGUACCCAAAAUUCAUUGGCGAAAAUGAUACUGGAUGAAUUUUUUGAAGUAUUCCAGAGCAACGAAAAUGAAACGGCGGAAACUCUAAAUGGCGUUGAUGUGCGUCAAUGAUGAAGGUUACGAGUGACAAGUUAAAUGGGUGUUUGUUACGUUACCCUGUUUUGUGUUUCAAAAGAUUUUUCGUCAAAAAAUUUACGGCAUGUUGUUAUUUAUUCAGUACUUAACGGCUCCCGGUGUUUGCGAAGUUCCCGAUAGACUGAGGGGGAAAAAACCACGCGGUAUUAUCAUAAUUGAACACUGAUUUCGCUUAAGUUAUUGGUUUUCUCGUCAAACCAGCAAUUUUUUUAUUUAAAAAAUAAGAUGCUGAUAGCACACCAACUUUUUUUUAAUGUUCAGUUAAAUUGGAUUGGAAUUCGAAACUGGCUUGUCGCUAGAUGGUAUCGUGAUCUAAGACAUCUGGUGGGCAAAUUUUGAACUUUAUCAUUGUGAUUCGUUUUUUGCGCAUGAUCAUGAAGAAUGGAUGGUGUGUGUGUGUAGAAUUACGAUCCCUAAUCUUUGUGUUUUCGAAGGAUUAUUUAGCUAAAAUCUAUUGAGUUGGAGGAAGAUCAAUGCCCUAUAUUCUGUAGACUGGAUUACCUCCAAUGGCUUCGUGGGAAAGUGGGAAGGGUAUAGCCUUACCACUUUUGUCAAAAUCGGCCAAAAAUGACAUCUCUUGAAAUUCUC